rnacentral:ncRNA from 1 species
GAACUUUGGAGAAUCUCAUUUUAUAUGGGUGCCGAAGGUGAAAGCAUUUUAUAUGCGAAUCUCUCAGGCAAAAGGACAAAGU